rnacentral:rRNA from 1 species
GACGAAGGGGGCUAGCGUUGUUCGGAAUUACUGGGCGUAAAGCGCGUGUAGGCGGUUGUCCAAGUUGGAUGUGAAAGCCUUGAGCUUAACUCAAGAAAUGCAUUCAGGACUGGAUGACUAGAGGACCGGAGAGGAUAGUGGAAUUCCCAGUGUAGUGGUGAAAUACGUAGAGAUUGGGAAGAACACCAGUGGCGAAGGCGGUUCUCUGGGACGGUACUGACGCUGAGACGCGAAAGCGUGGGGAGCGAACAGG